rnacentral:rRNA from 1 species
UACAGAGGUCUCGAGCGUUAGGCGGAAUCACUGGGCUUACAGCGUGUGUAGGCGGAUCGGUAAGUACCUUGUGAAAUCCCACAGCUUAACUGUGGAACUGCUCGGUAUACUGCCAGUCUUGAGCCAGCUAGGGGCUACCGGAACAAAUGGUGGAGCGGUGAAAUGCGUAGAUAUCAUUUGGAACGCCAAUGGUGAAAACAGGUAGCUGGGGCUGUGCUGACGCUGAGACACGAAAGCCAGGGGAGCAAACGGG